CAGCAGCCGCGGUAAGACAGAGGUCCCGAGCGUCGUUCGGAUUCAUUGGGCGUAAAGGGUGUGUAGGAGGUCGGGUAAGUCAGGUGUGAAAUCUCACAGCUUAACUGUGAAACUGCGCUUGAUACUGCCCGGCUAGAGGAUCGGAGGGGGUAACGGAAUUCAUGGUGUAGCAGUGAAAUGCGUAGAUAUCAUGAGGAACACCGGUGGCGAAGGCGGUUACCUGGAAGAUUCCUGACUCUGAAACACGAAAGCCAGGGGAGCAAACGGGAUUAGAUACCCGGGUAGUCCCUGUCUCUUAUAC
rnacentral:rRNA from 1 species